CUUUUUUAAGCCUUCCCUCCCCUUCUUACGCCCUGUCUCCUUUUUAUGUUUCUUUGUGAUUGUUUUUGCAAGUUUGUUUUAAAAGUUCACAGCAUCCUUUCUUUUCUUUUAGACAAGGAGACCGUGAUCUCACCCUGACGCAUCAUUUCAUACUUGGGGUGUUUCAUCUCAUGAUUUCAAGAUGACCACAGGUGUUUUUAGGGUCCUCUUCUGUGGAGCAGUAGCCACCACCAGGGAAAGAAUGCAAGUCCCUGACAAGCUUCCCGAGCCUUCCUGGUGGGAUACAAUGGAUAUUGGAAGUGUGGGGGCGGUGUAGGGAGAGUAAACCUCAAACAUUGCUACAUUUUCUAUCAACCUGGUAGAUUUUUUUUUUAAUUUAUUCUUUAAUUUGCAUAGAGUCAAAUUCACUCUUUUGGUGUGUAGUUCUCUAUGUUAUGACAAAUGUAAAAAAGUCAUAUAGCUACCCCUGUAAUCAAGACUGGGGAUAAUCCAUUUCCCACCCCCCUCAGAAAUUUCCUUGUGCUCCCCUUUUGUGUCAAACUACCCACCAUUUGCCCUUGGUUCCCACUCCCCCAUGCCAGGAACCAAUGAACCACUGAUUUGAGCCACUGAUUAUUCUUCCCCAUGGUUUUGGAUCUUUCAGGAUGUGACAAAUAAAAUUACACAAUAUAUAACCUUUUGAGUCUGGUUUCUAUCACUCAGCAUAAUGCAUGUGAGGUUUAUCCAUGCUGUGCAUAUCAACAAGCUAUUUCUUCUUGUUACCAAAAAGUAUUCCUUUGUAUGAAUGUACCAGAAUCU